AUACGUAUUAUAGAGCUGCUGGCUCGGUCCUUUCAUGGCUGAGCGAUGUGCGGAGCCGUUAACGGGUCAUGUGCCCUUCAAGAGUCUCUUGUGCGAGCCGCUGCUGUUGCUGUCCUGUGCCUGCCGCGCUCGAGAGAUCCCCUCGGAGUGGAGAGACGAGCGUUAGCCGUGCAGUCCCGAAGCGGAAGCUGGAGGAGGUUGAGGCGCCGCCGGGCAAGCGGCCUGGACUGGGGGGAAGCAGUCUCUGGGGAAAGCAGAGUGGCGUGGGGGGCAGGUGGCGCGGCGAGCCCGCGGAGUCCAGGGCGAGUGGACGGCAGAGGGAGGCGCUGACCAGGAUAUGAAAAGCAGGAAGGGUGAAGCAUUGUUUCUAAUGGGCUUCCAAGAACUGAGCUAGCCUCUGCUGUUGAAGUAACAACUUAACACUGGGAAAAUAGGACAUACGAAAACAGGAGCUUAAAGAAUGAACAAACAAGAUAUCUCUGAUCUUAAGUCCUCGAAGUCUUGGGUUGAAGAGGUCUUCAGUAAAAGAGAAUGCGCAAGCAUCAUUCCUAGUUUAAAAGAUCUUCAUAGGUAAAACAGUUAAUUUAACUUUGUUACAUUUAGAAAGAAUCAGAAUAAAUUUUUAUGAGCAUUGUGUGUAGUUUGGAUGCAGUUCUUUCCAGUUUUGCAAUGCCCGAGUUAGUUAGUGAUUGCUGAUGUUUAUGGGUUUCCAUAGUUACCGCCAUGAGUACAUUUUAAAUGUGGUUGUUUAAAUUAGAAAUUGGCAAUGAUUAACCUUCCUGGGCUUCUUGGAUAUUUUGCUCUCAGUCCAAUAACCAAAACUGUGGUAUGGCAUCCAACUGAGAGAGAGAAAAAUGACAUGCUUAACAUUGAAUU